AUCCGGCUGACGAGUCCUAAAUAGGACGAAAUGCGAGCCAAACUGCAU
rnacentral:hammerhead_ribozyme from 1 species